CAUGUGAUGAUUGUUUCAUGUACAAAUACAGAACAAAAUGACCUUGAUUUACCUGGAUACUAAUAAAAGGAGCUAUCUGAAUGUAAGACAUUUAUAUUCCACAGAAAACUGUGGCACUACUUACACAACUUAUUUACUGAAUGUGGAUGGUUAGAAACUGCCUCUGGGGGUUUGUGGAAAAAAGGAGACAAUUCCUGACAACCACUUAAAGUAACAUUUUGAAGCCUGUAAGACAGAAGCUUUGCUGCUGUCUUGUUGUUUUCCUAAGAACACAUCAGAUUGCCUAGAAUGGAUAUGAAUAAUUGAAGGACAUCCUAAUAGCAGUGAUCCUCCCAAGGGGCUUUUCCAACACCUUAUUAUUAGCUGAUAUGCUGCCUGAGCCACCUCAUGGGAACUCAGACUGUGAUCCCAUACUAUAUCGAAACGAAAGAGGCAAGCAUGGCAGGUAAUCUAAGCAGAGCAUAGUGGAAAAGUUUUUAGCAAAAUGAAAACUCCUUUAGAUAUUGGCAAAUGCAGUUUACAAAGCGUGAAAGAAGAAAUACUACGCUUACAGCGGGAUUUCAUGAUAUAAUCCCUGCUUAUUAUAGAGUAUCUCAGCCUGUCCUUCAAGGAGAGUAUCCUGUUGAAUGGCUGUCAAAGGACAAAACAAGAACCAACAGAUCUGAGCUGCAGAGAUUUACAUGUGAUCUGAUGGUGUGAUCUACGUCAGUUUAGCUGAAUUGUGCAAGCUCCCCAGUGGAAAUUUAAACAGGGAAGUAUGUGUCAACAGACCAGAAUUAAAAAGGUGACAAACUGUGAAGAAUUAAAACUUCUAAUUUAACAGAUGAGCAACUGCAAAUAACAGAAUCUCAGACAAACACUAUUUUAAUGAAAGGUGACAUGCCAGAGAUAAGAGGGUUUUUUUCCUCUCUCUUCAGCAGAUGCUUCUUCGAAUCUGCCUGUGGAUGUGUUCAGCAGUUUCCUUUCCAGAAUAUUUCUUCUCUAGUCAAUCCUGUAGAUCUUUUCAAGGGCUAACUCAUUUCUGCAGUUGGAUUGCUCUGGCAGACACACUUUGUGGCAUCACAAAGAGGACACCCUGCCGUGUAGCUCUGUCCUACCAUCCUACCUCUGAGGCCACUCAGAAUGUUAUGGAGAGACCAGGACUCGAGAAGACAGGACCAUGCUAAUGUAGAGCUGGAAAAUACUUGGCACUACGCAGAGCAUGAAAGUGAGCUCCCGCCUCACCAGCAGAAGCCAGUCACUCCAGCAUGCGUAGAGUGGUGUACCACUGCUGCCUCAACUGCCCAUCCUUCUGCCAAUGGCUGGAUGACUCAACUCCCAGAAUCUUCUCAAAAAUGUGAGAAAAAUCAUGUGUUUUGAUACUUCCAAGGCUAAAAAGGCAAAGAAAUGUCCUAUUGACCUGCAGCUCAACCACAUACCCUGGUUAGAUCUAUGUCAGCCUCAAACUCUGUUGGUGUAUGUCCAUCUGCCUUCCCAGAAGCUCAGUGGCUCGCUCUUGGAACCAGAAAACAAGAAUGCCAUGCUGAGGUAUGCUGCAUGUUAGACUACAAGUCAGGGCACUGAUAAGUGCCCUGUGUUUUAUAGAGUAGGAUUCUUUAACAACUUUCUGUACGCUGGUAAAGCUUCUCCACACCCCCUUACACCAUCAUCUGUGGCAUGCCGUCACUCAUUUGCAUUUGACUUCAAAUCUCUGCCAGUGAUUUGCGGAGCAUUAGCACUGUUGGGUGCAUGGCCCCACUAAAGGCCUGGAAGAUCACCUGGACAAUUCUGUGAUGGACCAGUACACAAGUGCCAGCCAAAGGGCCUGAUUCCUAACCAACGGAUAAAAAAUAAGGUAUCAGCAAGUAAGUAAGUAGUUACAAAUUCAUGUCUUGAAUGAAAGACAUGACUGGCUGGAGGAGAGGGGAGAUUAUUUCUCCUUUGCUGACGUGUGUGUUUCUUGCUGGAAGAGAGCAUUGCUGGGGGUGUUGGUCUGAUUGUGCUGAGUCAGCAAACCUUUUAUUUGCAUUUUAAAGCAUGAUUAGCUAAGUGGUUCUCACAGGAGCACUUUUGGCACUGUAUUGGGCUGGCAAGAAGCCUGGUGUGCACUCUUGCUGAGGUUCCCAUAACUGUAUUAUAGGACUGCUUUCUGUUUCUUGGUGCAUGUUUCAUGUGGAGUUCUUCUGCCUCACUUCAGUAUAUCAGAUCUCAUGGGCUGAUAAGGAUUGGGAAGAAGCUGAAAAUAAGUGAUGUCAAGAGAUAGUACCCCUUCUGGUUGGCUGUGUUUCAAUGUAUAAAUCAUUUACUAUUUUUCUAAAUUUGUAUGAUAUAAAUAAUAAAUAUAAGUAGGUAUUAAAGGCAGGAGUGAGAGGGGAAAAACUGACAGUUCUCUGGUUUACCUCAAACCAGAAAUCACUGGCCUUUUUGAGUCAAUCUAGAAAUGGCUCCAUUAAAUGAAUAAUCACAAUUUUCAUAGGAAAAAUGAAAACAGUACCUUUUAUCUCCUUUUUUUAUUUCAGAAAUGGCAUUUAUAAUCAUUUCCUCUAAUACUAAUUAGUAGUAAUUAGAGAAGAAACGUGGUCUGGGAUCUUGCAAAAAGCCCUGGUUUAUUUGUAGUUAUUGUUAUAGUUUCACAUUUUCUUCCUUUGCCCCAUUGCUUUUGUGCUCAACCUCUUAGAGUAAAGUAGCCAUGUAAAAGGUAUCAGCAAUAAUUAGAUGAUCACUCCAAACCUUCUGUAACUGCAGAAUUUGGAGUCUUUUGUGCCAAAGGAAUGUUUUGAUGCAGAAAACAGAGCAAUACACUUUUUAGGCGCAGAGCCUGUUUGGAACUCUCAGGUGAACCGUUCUAUUCACUGUAAUGUGGCAAACGUGUAUAUUGUCUCCAAUACCUUAAGUGCAGUAGCUGCAAUCCACAUCUUUGUAAGGAUUUUGACAAACCACACAUUGAAGGGUUUCUGGGAUGUACAGGUGACUCAGGUUCACACAGUUUUAAGGCUAUGUUGCGUGCAUUUGCUAUACUAAAGAAAAAGCAUGCAGCAAGGCUAGGAAGGACCUUUUGCAUACAUUGGAAACUGCUUUGACGCAGGAGUAUGUAUGUUCUGACAUUUAACUGAGUUUAUUCAGAGAUUUAUCCUUUAAAUUUAAAUGUUAUUGAGCAGCAAAAGAGUGAAAGAAUCUCAGUCAAUGAUACUUCUGAUUUUCAGUAAGGUUUUACUUUCCUCCUGACAGAUGGGGAACUAUUAAUAUAACUUAUUUCUAAUUCUCAUGAUUGUUGCAAAGAUUGCUUUCCU